GAUGAAGAACGCAGCGAAAUGCGAUACGUAAUGUGAAUUGCAGAAUUCAGUGAAUCAUCGAAUCUUUGAACGCAUAUUGCGCUCUCUGGUAUUCCGGAGAGCAUGCUUGUUUGAGUAUCAGUAAACACCUCAACUUCCAUAUCUUUUUUGAAAUGGGAGUUGGACUUGAGGGAUCCCAACGCUUUUCCUCACCGAAAAGUGGCGGGUUACUUGAAUUGCAGGUGCAGCUGGACUUUUCUCUGAGCUAUAAGCAUAUCUAUUUAGUCUGCCUAAAAAACAGAUUAUUACCUUUGCUGCAGCUAACAUAAAGGAGAUUAGUUCUUGUGCUGACUGAUGCAGGAUUCACAAAGACAGGCUUCGGCCGACUUUGUAAACUCGAUCUCAAAUCAAGUAAGACUACCCGCUGAACUUAAGCAUAUCAAUAAGCGGAGGA
rnacentral:misc_RNA from 1 species